CGUUCCUCUACACGCGGUCUACGAGGGUGAAUGGCCUACAGCUCCACUACAUCAACAACUCCUUUCGACGCGUGAAAAGACGGCGAUAAGGGGCAGCAGGCGUCUAAUCACGCAGUUUACGUGUGAUCUUUACCGCGUGAACACCUCAUGAUCAUAUCUGUUAAUGAGAAGAAGUCCAUGUUUUUUAGCACCUGGAGACUCUCUCUCUUCGGUGCCACUAUCAGUUUCCGACGACGACGCGCGGAGGACAGGUCUCGGCACUUGUGCACACACGCGGCCAUCCCCACACACAGACACAAGCACAAAUACAUACACAGAUACACGCAGGGACACAUACAAACACACACAACACACCCAAAAAGACCCAUGCCAGCCAACAUGCCCACAUCUACAGCCAUAUACAAAGAGACAGACAGAAGCACACCAACACAUGUACGCACUCCGACACACGCCUCCUCGGCCGGCCAAUCUGAGAGGCCCCUGAGGGUACGCCCACUUUAAGAACUCGCUCGCUGGCCACUUGACAGCGCGCAUCUCGACGGAGGUUUAAUGAAUAGAGAAUUCCCGGGACCUCUUCUGCCACAGGCUCCGUCGCGCGGGGCGUGCGCCUCGAGAACUCCAAGGGCGAAGUCACUGCAGAUGAAGUCGGACCAAAAGAAGUCCUACGCCCAGAACGAACAUCUUCCCGACCGGGCCCACACUUUCACCCAAGCUGGAUAACGACGGGAUGGGGCAAUAAAGCUCAUUUUACUUGCAACUCUCAA